CGUCGCAAAGGACGCGGAGAUAUCAGCGAGUGGUCGCGAAGGAAUGACCGCGAAGAGCGCGGGGCCGCGAGCAAAUUGGCGCGAAGGAGAUGGCCGCGAAGCGAGUGCUCGUGAAGAAGGCCAACAGUAUUAAUGUUCGCGUGACAGUCAGCGAACGUCCGCGAGGCCAUAAGUACGUCAAUGAACGCUCGCAAGGAACACCUCGCGAAGCUUCUCUAGCGAGCACUGAUCAAGUGAAGCGAACGCUCGCAAGGAACAUUAUCACAGGAGGCAGAGCUCGCUGAGUGCACUUGGCCUAAGCCUCGCUAGCAAGAUUCGAACCGGCGAAGCGCUGCGCCGGAGUUGCCAACAAAAUAUGCAUACCCUGAAGCGAAGGCGAUCUGGACGCUAGCAAUGGCUUUAGUGGAUGUAUGCCAAUCCCAGUGGCCGACGUCGAGGUGGAUACAAGACGAAGUCUUUCGA
rnacentral:lncRNA from 1 species